AACGAACGCUGGCGGCAUGCCUAACACAUGCAAGUCGAACGAGACCUUCGGGUCUAGUGGCUCACGGGUGCGUAACGCGUGGGAACCUGCCCUUAGGUUCGGAAUAACUCCCCGAAAGGGGUGCUAAUACCGGAUAAUGUCUUCGGACCAAAGAUUUAUCGCCUUUGGAUGGGCCCGCGUUGGAUUAGCUAGUUGGUAGGGUAAAAGCCUACCAAGGCGACGAUCCAUAGCUGGUCUGAGAGGAUGAUCAGCCACACUGGGACUGAGACACGGCCCAGACUCCUACGGGAGGCAGCAGUGGGGAAUAUUGGACAAUGGGCGAAAGCCUGAUCCAGCAAUGCCGCGUGAAUGAUGAAGGCCUUAGGGUUGUAAAGCUCUUUUACCCGGGAUGAUAAUGACAGUACCGGGAGAAUAAGCUCCGGCUAACUCCGUG
rnacentral:rRNA from 1 species